UGGAGGUAGAGCACUGUUUGGACGAGGGGCCCCUCUCGGGUUACCGAAUUCAGACAAACUCCGAAUGCCAAUUAAUUUAACUUGGGAGUCAGAACAUGGGUGAUAAGGUCCGUGUUCGAAAGGGAAACAGCCCAGACCACCAGCUAAGGUCCCAAAAUAUAUGUUAAGUGGAAAAGGAUGUGGCGUUGCCCAGACAACUAGGAUGUUGGCUUAGAAGCAGCCAUCAUUUAAAGAGUGCGUAAUAGCUCACUAGUCGAGUGACACUGCGCCGAAAAUGUACCGGGGCUAAACAUAUUACCGAAGCUGUGGAUUGUCCUUUGGACAAUGGUAGGAGAGCGUUCUAAGGGCGUUGAAGCAUGAUCGUAAGGACAUGUGGAGCGCUUAGAAGUGAGAAUGCCGGUGUGAGUAGCGAAAGACGGGUGAGAAUCCCGUCCACCGAUUGACUAAGGUUUCCAGAGGAAGGCUCGUCCGCUCUGGGUUAGUCGGGUCCUAAGCUGAGGCCGACAGGCGUAGGCGAUGGAUAACAGGUUGAUAUUCCUGU
rnacentral:rRNA from 1 species